GACGAACGCUGGCGGCGUGCCUAAUACAUGCAAGUCGAGCGGAAGUUGGAGAGCUUGCUCUUCAACUUUAGCGGCGGACGGGCGAGUAACACAUGGGCAACCUGCCCUGCAGAUCGGGAUAACUCCGGGAAACCGGUGCUAAUACCGAAUAGUGUUCGCCACCUCCUGGUGGCGUACGGAAAGACGGUUUCGGCUGUCACUGCAGGCUGGGCCCGCGUCGCAUUAGCUAGCUGGUGGGGUAACGGCCCACCAAGGCGACGAUGCGUAGCCGACCUGAGAGGGUGAUCGGCCACACUGGGACUGAGACACGGCCCAGACUCCUACGGGAGGCAGCAGUAGGGAAUCUUCCGCAAUGGACGAAAGUCUGACGGAGCAACGCCGCGUGAGUGACGAAGGUUUUCGGAUCGUAAAACUCUGUUGUGAGGGAAGAACAAGUACCAACUAACUACUGGUACCUUGACGGUACCUCACCAGAAAGCCACGGCUAACUACGUGCCAGCAGCCGCCGUAA
rnacentral:rRNA from 1 species